rnacentral:tRNA from 1 species
GCCAGUGUGGUGUAGUGGCUUGAGCGUUGGAUUACAACUUUGGAGAUCAGGGUUCAAAUCCCUGCUUGAGCA